AUGUCAUUUGAACGAUAUAUGUCCACGUUGGGUGAUGAGUUGUUUGACGUGGUGACUUUCCCCCAAGAUCCUGCUCUAUACUUCGUUGGUAUGGAUCAGUACUUCAUCUCUUUAGGGUUAAAAGCUAUUAAGAUUGUUAAAAUGUUCUUUGGCCUGUUGGAGACCUAUCAUGAAAAACAAGAGUGCCUUUUAUACUUCACAUUAGCGGAUCUUGAGUAUGAUACUACUUCAAAUAAGCUAAUGUUCAGAAAUCCAGUGCGUACAGCCGCAUUUCAUCCUAGUCGCUACUACCAGAAUAUGUCAAAUGCUGGUACAGUUUUAUCAUCCAUAUUGAAGUUCGAUGAAAUGAGAGUCCUUGCUGGCCAUUCUGGCAUAUAUCUACCGGCUGGGACUGCAAUUGACAACACCACACUUCCCAAGCUACCACCGUUGGUUGAACUUCUGAUACAUGAUUUACAAACUCGUGUGAGAGUAUUGCCGAAUGUAAGCAUCAACAAGCGGAAAAGAGCAUACUUUUGCAACCAUGUAGCUGUGAUGACUCCAGCUGAGCGCCUUUCCUUUUGGCUGACGGGUGAAUUACAUUUUGAGUACAUUGGUGGUGAGCAUACUUUAAAUACCUAUAUUGGUCAAAAGUAUGUUCCUAACUGGACCACUGCAGCAAAACGGUCAACUGCACUCAAAGCAGUAUAUUCAUGGCGUUCAUACGUCAAAACCUCAUUAGGGUCUCAAUGGUCGUUUGGACGUAAUUGGCUAUCCCAUGCUCCGUCGAAACUAACUCUGAAGUUUACAGAAAAGCAGUCUGAGGCGUAUCUGAAUAUUACGUUCAAGUGGUUGCUGUACUAUGUUAUCCUUAAACAUACAUUUCGAGGAGCAUCGAUUCGUUGGAACAGUAGUCCCCUGCCACCGGCGCAGCCACUGCCCAUGCCGCAAAUUUUGGCCCCGGCACCUUUUGGUCCUCCUCCAAGACCACUGACGCUCUCAAACCAUUUUACGGUUGAUCAGCUACUUAAUACGAGUGGAUCUCUUUAG
rnacentral:rRNA from 1 species